rnacentral:rRNA from 1 species
UGGGGAAUCUUAGACAAUGGGGGAAACCCUGAUCUAGCCAUGCCGCGUGAGCGAUGAAGGCCUUAGGGUUGUAAAGCUCUUUCAGAUGGGAAGAUAAUGACGGUACCAUCAGAAGAAGCCCCGGCUAACUCCGUGCCAGCAGCCGCGGUAAUACGGAGGGGGCUAGCGUUGUUCGGAAUUACUGGGCGUAAAGCGCGCGUAGGCGGACUGGAAAGUUGGGGGUGAAAUCCCAGGGCUCAACCCUGGAACUGCCUUCAAAACUCCCAGUCUGGAGUUCGAGAGAGGUGAGUGGAAUUCCGAGUGUAGAGGUGAAAUUCGUAGAUAUUCGGAGGAACACCAGUGGCGAAGGCGGCUCACUGGCUCGAUACUGACGCUGAGGUGCGAAAGCGUGGGGAGCAAACA